CGACAGUUAAGAAAGACGUUCACAAAAUAUGGAGCUCAUAUCAUAUGAUUCUAUGAGAACAAGAAAGGCGACAGCGUUGUUUCUAUUAAUUGAAAUGGAACAAGAAGAGCAGCUAUUACAGGCUCAGGAUUUACUUUUACAAGUAAAAUAUUAUUUUUUGUCAAUUUUUCAUAUCAAGUAACAUAAUGAAAAUCAUAAACGCGCCUCGUACACCAACAC
rnacentral:lncRNA from 1 species